GGGUUGUGAGGUUAAGCGACUAAGCGUACACGGUGGAUGCCCUGGCAGUCAGAGGCGAUGAAGGACGUGCUAAUCUGCGAAAAGCGUCGGUAAGGUGAUAUGAACCGUUACAGCCGGCGAUGUCCGAAUGGGGAAACCCAGUGCAAUUCGUUGCACUAUCGUUAACUGAAUACAUAGGUUAACGAGGCGAACCGGGGGAACUGAAACAUCUAAGUACCCCGAGGAAAAGAAAUCAACCGAGAUUCCCCCAGUAGCGGCGAGCGAACGGGGAGCAGCCCAGAGUCUGAAUCAGCUUGUGUGUUAGUGGAACGGUCUGGAAAGUCCGACGGUACAGGGUGAUAGUCCCGUACACCAAAAUGCACAGGCUGUGAACUCGAAGAGUAGGGCGGGACACGUGGUAUCCUGUCUGAAUAUGGGGGGACCAUCCUCCAAGGCUAAAUACUCCUGACUGACCGAUAGUGAACCAGUACCGUGAGGGAAAGGCGAAAAGAACCCCGGCGAGGGGAGUGAAAAAGAACCUGAAACCGUGUACGUACAAGCAGUGGGAGCACCUUCGGGUGUGACUGCGUACCUUUUGUAUAAUGGGUCAGCGACUUAUAUUCUGUAGCAAGGUUAACCGUAUAGGGGAGCCGCAGGGAAACCGAGUCUUAACUGGGCGUUAAGUUGCAGGGUAUAGACCCGAAACCCGGUGAUCUAGCCAUGGGCAGGUUGAAGGUUGGGUAACACUAACUGGAGGACCGAACCGACUAAUGUUGAAAAAUUAGCGGAUGACUUGUGGCUGGGGGUGAAAGGCCAAUCAAACCGGGAGAUAGCUGGUUCUCCCCGAAAGCUAUUUAGGUAGCGCCUCGUGAAUUCAUCUUCGGGGGUAGAGCACUGUUUCGGCUAGGGGGUCAUCCCGACUUACCAACCCGAUGCAAACUACGAAUACCGAAGAAUGUUAUCACGGGAGACACACGGCGGGUGCUAACGUCCGUCGUGAAGAGGGAAACAACCCAGACCGCCAGCUAAGGUCCCAAAGUCAUGGUUAAGUGGGAAACGAUGUGGGAAGGCACAGACAGCCAGGAUGUUGGCUUAGAAGCAGCCAUCAUUUAAAGAAAGCGUAAUAGCUCACUGGUCGAGUCGGCCUGCGCGGAAGAUGUAACGGGGCUAAACCAUGCACCGAAGCUGCGGCAGCGACACUAUGUGUUGUUGGGUAGGGGAGCGUUCUGUAAGCCUGCGAAGGUGACCUGUGAGGGGUUGCUGGAGGUAUCAGAAGUGCGAAUGCUGACAUAAGUAACGAUAAAGCGGGUGAAAAGCCCGCUCGCCGGAAGACCAAGGGUUCCUGUCCAACGUUAAUCGGGGCAGGGUGAGUCGACCCCUAAGGCGAGGCCGAAAGGCGUAGUCGAUGGGAAACAGGUUAAUAUUCCUGUACUUGGUGUUACUGCGAAGGGGGGACGGAGAAGGCUAUGUUAGCCGGGCGACGGUUGUCCCGGUUUAAGCAUGUAGGCUGGUUAUCCAGGCAAAUCCGGAUAAUCAAGGCUGAGGUGUGAUGACGAGGCACUACGGUGCUGAAGUAACAAAUGCCCUGCUUCCAGGAAAAGCCUCUAAGCAUCAGGUAACAUCAAAUCGUACCCCAAACCGACACAGGUGGUCAGGUAGAGAAUACCAAGGCGCUUGAGAGAACUCGGGUGAAGGAACUAGGCAAAAUGGUGCCGUAACUUCGGGAGAAGGCACGCUGGUGUGUAGGUGAAGUCCCUGCGGAUGGAGCUGAGACCAGUCGAAGAUACCAGCUGGCUGCAACUGUUUAUUAAAAACACAGCACUGUGCAAACACGAAAGUGGACGUAUACGGUGUGACGCCUGCCCGGUGCCGGAAGGUUAAUUGAUGGGGUUAUCCGUAAGGAGAAGCUCUUGAUCGAAGCCCCGGUAAACGGCGGCCGUAACUAUAACGGUCCUAAGGUAGCGAAAUUCCUUGUCGGGUAAGUUCCGACCUGCACGAAUGGCGUAAUGAUGGCCAGGCUGUCUCCACCCGAGACUCAGUGAAAUUGAACUCGCUGUGAAGAUGCAGUGUACCCGCGGCAAGACGGAAAGACCCCGUGAACCUUUACUAUAGCUUGACACUGAACAUUGAGCCUUGAUGUGUAGGAUAGGUGGGAGGCUUUGAAGCGUGGACGCCAGUCUGCGUGGAGCCAACCUUGAAAUACCACCCUUUAAUGUUUGAUGUUCUAACGUUGGCCCCUUACCGGGGUUGCGGACAGUGUCUGGUGGGUAGUUUGACUGGGGCGGUCUCCUCCCAAAGCGUAACGGAGGAGCACGAAGGUUAGCUAAUCCUGGUCGGACAUCAGGAGGUUAGUGCAAUGGCAUAAGCUAGCUUGACUGCGAGCGUGACGGCGCGAGCAGGUGCGAAAGCAGGUCAUAGUGAUCCGGUGGUUCUGAAUGGAAGGGCCAUCGCUCAACGGAUAAAAGGUACUCCGGGGAUAACAGGCUGAUACCGCCCAAGAGUUCAUAUCGACGGCGGUGUUUGGCACCUCGAUGUCGGCUCAUCACAUCCUGGGGCUGAAGUAGGUCCCAAGGGUAUGGCUGUUCGCCAUUUAAAGUGGUACGCGAGCUGGGUUUAGAACGUCGUGAGACAGUUCGGUCCCUAUCUGCCGUGGGCGCUGGAGAAUUGAGGGGGGCUGCUCCUAGUACGAGAGGACCGGAGUGGACGCAUCACUGGUGUUCGGGUUGUCAUGCCAAUGGCACUGCCCGGUAGCUAAAUGCGGAAGAGAUAAGUGCUGAAAGCAUCUAAGCACGAAACUUGCCCCGAGAUGAGUUCUCCCUGAGACUUUAAGUCUCCUGAAGGAACGUUAAAGACGAUGACGUUGAUAGGCCGGGUGUGUAAGCGCAGCGAUGCGUUGAGCUAACCGGUACUAAUGAACCGUGAGGCUUAACCUUACAACGCCGAAG
rnacentral:rRNA from 1 species